AGAGUUUGAUCCUGGCUCAGGACGAACGCUGGCGGCGUGCUUAAUACAUGCAAGUCGAGCGGAAAGGCCCUUCGGGGUACUCGAGCGGCGAACGGGUGAGUAACACGUGAGGAACCUGCCCCUAGCUCUGGGAUAGCUCUGGGAAACCGGGAUUAAUACCAGAUAUGACCACGGUCGGCAUCGGCUGUGGUGGAAAGAUU
rnacentral:rRNA from 1 species